GAUGCUGGGAGUGGGGUGGUGGAAGCUGGCCUGGAGUCUGGAGAGGAGGUGGAGGAGGAUACGGAGGACCAGUGUCCUGGAAGUGGAAGAGGGGAGGGACACCUAGGCUGCAGUAGGGGAGGGGGAACACCCUGGGCUAGGACCCCAGGCCUGAGGGUGGAGAAGGGAGAGGAGAACUUGAUCCUAUUGGGAACCCUGGUCUUGGUGUCCAAUGUCCUGGCUGAUCUCCCUGCCAUGGCGGGGCCUUCCGGGAAUGGUGGGACUCCCACAGCUUCCCCUAUUCCUCCAUUUGAGCCUGUACCCUAUCUUACCUCAGUUCCUCAUUCAUUGGAUGACUCCCAAAGCACGGAGCUUGCUCCUGGCAGGGGAUCUGACCUGUUCCACCCCUCCAGCUCUCACUGCACCCACUUUAUGCUUCUAGGGUUUUCUCUACUGCCAAGAAGCAGCUGAUCGCCAGCAUCCUUGACCUCAGACCUGCCACUUUUUAAGCUCCAUCAGAUCUGCUGCUUCCUGUGGUGACUGGUGGGCCUGGCUGUUGUGGGCAUGCUGUCUCUACUCAGUCAUCCUGAGCUGCUGCUGGCUGGGAGAGAGGCGCGGACUGUGGACCCGGGACUGCAGAUGCUGUCUCUGCGCACACAGGCACUUCUGUGGCCGCAGCACACUGGUGUGGAAGGCCUCUUUCUCCACCAGCUUCACUUCCUGCUGGGCUCCCCAGUCACCACCGGCAGCUCCCUCUCUCCUUCAAGCCCAGAACCAACCCAGCCUCAAGCCUUUGUUGCCAGAGUAACAAGCCUUCCCUGGGCCUGGGAUGCUGAUGGAAAUGUACUGGGCAUUUGGGGGGUUUCCCAGGUUGAAGAACUGACACUGUGGGGGGUGGGGAGUAAUUUGUGGGGAGGGAGCUGGGCCCUGAUUCCUAGGGCUCUGCUAUCAGCCCAGGUUUCUGCUUCCCAAAACUCUGUGUCUGAGGCCUCAGGUUCUUGAGCAUGCUUCCUGGUUGCCGUGGCAACCCAACACUUGCAGAACAUGAUUGGAGACCAGCUUUGUGACCAUCCCCUUGACCUUGAGAUGUCGAAGGCCACCGGAUGGGCCUGGCUGGACAUAGACCCUCCCCAUCAGCUUCUCCACACCGCAGGGCCUCCCUCUGGCCGCCCCUCCCCAUGUGUGGACAUGGCUCCCCCUUCCCUUUCCCCACACAGAGGGACCCCCAUUUAGUCAUUCCUCUAUAAUCCCAACACCACGCUUCCCUCCCCAGUACCUCCAACACACCACCUGUCUCCCACCUCCCACCCUUUCUCCUCCUACCUCUGCCUGUUUCCCUUGGCAACUCUCUGGAGCCUCCUGGAGACGCCUCAGGACAAGAUGGUCCUUCCUGACCAAAUCCUUCCCACCACGGGGCCUCCAGUCCCAGCUCCCCAAGGAUGGGCAUGCAGCCAAGGUGAAGGUGUCGGUGAGAUCAGGGGGACAAGGGGCAGCCCGCACCUUCUCCCAGCUGUGUUAGUUUUCUGUGGCUGCUGUAACAAGUUGCCACGGACUCGGUAGCUGAAACAACAGAAAUUCAUUCUCUCACAGUUCAGGAGGCCAGAAGUCUGCAAUCAGUUUCGCUGAGCUGAAAUCAAGGUGUGGGCAGAGCCGUGCUCCCUCCAGGGCCUCUAGAGGAGGAUCCAUCUCCUGCCUCCUCCAGCGUCUGCUGGCUGCAGCGCUCCAAUGUCUGCCUUUGUCACAUCGCCACCUCUUCUGGAUCAUCUCCUGCUGCCUCCCUCUCAUACAGACACCUGGGAUUAGACCUGAUAUCUUUGGGAAGCUGUUAUCAAGUCGACCACAACAGCCUUCCCCCAAAUACACACACAGUUGUGACUGCUUAGUGCGUGAGUUGUGGGAAUCGGCCAGGAAAGGAUUUGAAGAGGAGUCAUCAUUAUCCCGGGACCAGCUAAGCCAAACUCUCCAGAGCCUCCAGGCAGGCCCACCUGGGCAUGGGGAUGUGGAGCAGGAAAGAGUGGAGGGGACAACUGUAUUUCUCCCCAAGUUGUGCAUCCCAUAGUCCUUACCCAAAGGCCUCUCUGAUGCCACCUGCCCUGCUCUCAGAUUGGGAAGCACUAGGGAGUUUGGGUAAGAGCCUGGGGGUAGGCUGAGACAAACCUGGGGGUGGACUGAGGCAUCUCCACCUACCAGCUGUGGUUCUCACAGUGUGGACUAUGGGCCGGCAGCAUCGGCAUCACUUGGGAGUUUAUGAGAAAUGCAAUUUCUCGGGCCCCACUCCAGACCUACUGAAUCACAAACUCUGUGGCGGAGCCCAGCAUUCUGUGUUUACUGAGCCCUCCGGGAGAUUCCGACGCACCCUGGAGUUUGAGAAGCACUAUUUUAGACUUUUCAUUAAGAAAUGUGGAUGGGGUGUCCCACACAGCAGAACCCGAAGGACCUCCAACUAGAAUAUACAACUAUGUACCAGGGGCUUUGGAGAGAAGAAGAAAAAGAUUGGCAGCAGAUGUUAGUCCAGGGCCAAUCUUAAAAAGAAAUAAAACAAAAUGUGGAUGCCAGGACCUACAGCAAACACACGGCAAGUGGUGGGAUUAAACGAAGUUAUGUCCACAGAGGAUUUACUGCAGUGCCUGGAUCUUCAGAGCAGGUGCUCAGUUGAGAUUUGUGGGAUGAAUGAAGGAGCUUUAAAAUGA